rnacentral:rRNA from 1 species
UACAUAGGGUGCAAACGUUGCUCGGAAUUAUUGGGCGUAAAGCGCACGUAGGCGGUUCGUUAAGUCGGAUGUGAAAGCCCUCGGCUCAACUGAGGAAGUGCACCCGAAACUGGCGAGCUUGAGUACGAAAGAGGAUCGCGGAAUUCCCGGUGUAGAGGUGAAAUUCGUAGAUAUCAGGAGGAACACCGAUGGCGAAGGCAGGUCUCUGGGCUGACACUGACGCUCAUGCACGAAAGCGUGGGGAGCAAACAGG